CAGCCGCCGCGGUAAUACCGGCGGCCCGAGUGGCGGUCACUAUUAUUGGGCUUAAAGCGUCCGUAGCCGGGUUGGGAAGGCCUCCGGGAAAUCUGGCCGCUUAACGGUCAGAAUGCCGGAGGAUACUCCCAGCCUAGGGAGCGGGAGAGGCCGAGGGGAUUCCCGGGGUAGGGGUGAAAUCCUAUAAUCCCGGGAGGACCACCUGUGGCGAAGGCGCUCGGCUGGAACGCGUCCGACGGUGAGGGACGAAGGCCAGGGGAGCAAACCGGAUUAGAUACCCGGGUAGUCCUGGCUGUAAACGAUGCGGACUUUGUGUCGGACAAGCUAUGAGCUUGUCCGGUGCCGGAGGGAAACCGUUAAGUCCGCCGCCUGGGGAGUACGGCCGCAAGGCUGAAACUUAAAGGAAUUGGCGGG
rnacentral:rRNA from 1 species